GGCAGAGCAUCGACUUGGCUCACGCUCGGUCCGUCUCCUCUCUGUCGAGUUUUGAGCUUCCAGAGAUCGAUGGUUCUGCUGUGGACACCUGCAGGAUUUUCUUCGGCGCUGAACCCGACACCACCACCACGACCACGACCACACCCACCACCACCACGACUAAAUCAACCACACCCACCACCAAGAAGCAGCUUGUGGCCACAACCAAAAAGCCAGCCGUCCAAUCACCACCAAGGAAACCAGAAACACCAAUCAGGCCACAGCCAGCUCCGGCAGGACCAAUCACUGACAGCCUCCUCUACUACCUCCUGGCCAAUGGCAGAG